UCUCCCCUUCAAGAAGCAACAAUGUUUAGAUUGUCUUCAAUGCUCACAGAAGGGCUGCAAUACAAAUUUGCAUAUUAUAUUUAUGUUUAGGCGUGUCGCACAGCUGCCGUAGACAAAGCAGCCGCCCCAUGGCAUGUACUGAGACGAAAAUCAGAGUACAUAUCUUCUUUGUCAUAAAGCUGUAAGGUAAUCUAUUUUUAACACACUUUUAUUAGGUCGGGUUGUAUGUAUGUAUGUAACGGAAUCUUUGAGCUUAAUUUUCACUGGCUUCUAAACAUCUGAUCGACUUGAAAUUUUGCACACCUAUCAAGGACCGAUGACAAUGCAAUAAUUUGAUAAAAGUUUUCCAUUAUCCUUAUUGGGAUUGCCAGGAUUAAUAUUUUCUUUUUUUACCUGUGGGCAAAAAUGCCCUCUCGAUGAAAUACACUUAUGCCAACGAUUUUUCCAAUCCCCGAAACAUGCCAAAUAGUACAUUUCCGGUAGUGGUCUCUUGAGUUUUGGGAAUAGCCAGAAGUCACACGAAGCCAAAUCAGGCGAAUACGGUGGUUGCGGAACGAUAUGCGUGGAGUUUUUGGCGGAAUAGUCACGAAGAACGAGUGCAGUGUGAGACAUCUCGGGUUGUAUGUAUGAAUGACUGUAACGGAAUCUUUGAGCUUAAUUUUCACUGGCUUCUAAAAAUCUGAUCGACUCGGAACACACAACAUAGAUGACUAGAUGGGAAACUCUUUUUCUCGUGAGAGCGCUGAAAAAUGUGCAUUUUUUAUAACAUUUGCCAAUAUUGCCAUACCGGUAGAAACAUGAAUUGGGUAUUUUUUUAAAUAAAACUUGGGAAUUUUUAGUUUCCACACCACCAUUGAGGUUAGUAUUUAGUGUGCGGUUGUGUAAUAGUACAAUAUAUUACUCGUAAACACCUACAUAUACUAAAAAUAAAAAAUAGUAAAAAAAAAACUAAAAAACACGCUUUUAUUGCUAAUCGAACUAAAAAGUAGAAAAUAAAUUUUAAUGACAAAGGGACUUAUAAUGAAGUAAUAGCAAAUCGAAGGAUCAGUCAUAGUCAACUACCUCAGAACAGAAUUAUAACAAAAAUUAAGAUACAACUAGAGUAAUUCAAAUUAGAGUUAAAAGCGUGGGAUGCAUUUUGCUUCACUUUCAUAACCCUCUGUACAUAGUAGUUGCCAAUAGAAUGAUUGUAAUAUUUACUAUAUCAAGCAUCCCAAUUUUUUUAAAAAUAAAAAUAGUUAUAAAUCAGCUUAAAACCCACUUCCGGUAGCAAUAGUAUUUUUAUGAAAGUCUCUUCUGAAGCUUAACGAACUCAGCAAUACUUUUGCUUCCCAUUUUUACGUACAAGCCGCAGCCCUAGCUUUACAAAGUUUAGUCGCACACUCAUUACAUACAUACAUACGCACAUGUAUUUAACUGCUUUAUAGCAAUUUUACAUAUAGUAUAUACAUAUUUUUAUUAUUAAAGUAAUGAAUUUAUUAUACCCGCACGUACUUGUGCACGAGGGUAUUUUAAUUUUGCAUUAGGAAUCGGGUUGGACAUAGAACAGACAUAUAGUAUGUACAUACAUACAUACAUCAAAAUGCUCAAAAUAGUUUGGUAUUGAAAAUGGGCGAAAUUGGUGAACAACCAAGCCCACCUCCCAUAUAAUUUUAAUUUAAAAAUAAUAAAAUAAAAACGAAGCAUAAUUACUCAAAUUUGACUCAAAGAUUGAGCUCAAGGGGAUGAAUAGACGACGUUAAUAAAAUUCUAAAAAAUGGGCAGCGCCACGCCUAUCUUUGGAUAAAUGCGUACAUUUCGACAACAAUAUAAUAAAGUUCCACAUGAAUGAAUCAAAUCUCCACUGGGGGCAUCAUGUAAACGUCGACUAUAGUACCGACUAAAUAACCAACAAACAUAUGCUAACGCAAUCCCUUCUCCACCCAUAG